rnacentral:rRNA from 1 species
CCUACGGGAGGCAGCAGUGGGGGAUAUUGCACAAUGGGGGAAACCCUGAUGCAGCGACGCCGCGUGUGGGAAGACGGUCCUCUGGAUUGUAAACCACUGUCCCCAGGUCCGAAGAUGACGGUACCUGGGGAGGAACCUCCGGCUAAUUACGUGCCAGCAGCCGCGGUAAUACGUAGGGAGCGAGCGUUGUCCGGAAUUACUGGGUGUAAAGGGAGCGUAGGCGGGACUGCAAGUUGGGUGUAAAAUCUACCGGCUCAACCGGUAGCCGCACUCAAAACUGCAGUUCUUGAGUGAAGUAGAGGCAGGCGGAAUUCCUAGUGUAGCGGUGAAAGGCGUAGAGAUUAGGAGGAACACCAGUGGCGAAGGCGGACUGCUGGGCUUUUACUGACGCUGAGGCUCGAAAGUGUGGGGAGCAAACAGGAGUAGAUACCCGUGUAGUC